rnacentral:lncRNA from 1 species
CUGCAUUUGUUAUUCGUGUCUUCUAUAAGUAUUGGUCCCACAUACAAAUAGUAGUUUACUUCUAUAUUUGUGUAAGGUUCCAUGCGUGAGUAGAACUACAUUCGUUUCUUUUUGUUUCUUUGAAGGCUGCUAGUCCCACAUGUAGGUAGGCAUGCAUUUGUUUGUUGGUGAAUGUUAUUGAUCACACGUGUGAACUAAUCAUUAACUCCAACCUUUAUAAGUAGCACAUUAGUCAACUUCUUGGCAAAACACGCAUUCUAAAAUAUUUUAGUUUAUGUGAUAUUCUAGGACAAAAUGGAUAUGCCAACACGUAAAGUACUAAAGUUAAUUAAUAGAGACCACUGAAAGAAACCCCCAAUAAUAUGGUAAAGGUUUUGUUGGUGACUUGAUAUACUUGGAGUUUCAAAUCAGCUCUUUAUUUCCAAAGCAUAAUGUUGAACCUAUGUGACGACUUCUUUACAUAUCUCAUCGCUCAUAUAGUGCCUAUUAACACGUACAAUGACAUGAGAUCCAAGAUUACACUUUGAUUGUUAUCUGUUUCUAGGUUGGAGCGAGACGAUCAAAUAUGUUUUGCACAGACCACACUUCUGUGGCGAAGCUUGUUAUGCGUGAUUGCAAUAACUUGUUCCAUUAAUAUACAUGAACGACUGAACCCUUGUUGAAAACUUUAGGCAACGCGGGGUAGCUAGAUUGGCACAUCCACAAUUAAGCAACAUUUAUCUGUUUUUCCAGAGGAUCGCUUGGCCAGCUGGCCGAUGAGGUUAAAGGGUCACGCACUCACACUUGAGUACGUCAAGCGUUGUUACACAAUCAUAUCGACUUGGCGAACACAAAUUAUUCAUACAUAGCCUGCAAAUAAGUCUAGUAUAACAAUAGAUCAAAUUCAGUGAGUUUAUCCAGAUGUCGACAAGUUUUUCAUGGACUGAUCAUGUUAUCCUAUACAUAUUGCACUUCCAGCUUCAUGGAACAUUGUAUGUGCUGCCUAAAUGACCAUCCCUCUAUCUUAUGGUACAUCACGGCAACGCACAUUGCGUUGUUGGAUGAUGUGCAUGCCGCUAAAAGAUCUUCCAUCUGCUCCUGCCUACGAAUUUCACAGAUACGCCAACCACGCAUCACACAAAAACUCAUUUAUCAAUUGUAGUGUACCCCAUCGUAGUCUAGAAAAAUGACAUGUCCUUCUAAAGUAAGCUCAAUGGCAUUUGACCGAACAUCUACCCGGACUGGUGUGCCCCAUGUACAAUGUCGACGAGGGAGGAAGGAACUGUACCUAUACGCAGAUAGGUCCUAGGUAGACGCCACCGUCCUAAAAGGCGGGCGGGUGUGUCGCGGCUGGGUCCGAAGAUCCGCCAAUGCAUGUGUGCCGAUCGGAGAGGUACAACGACCGUGUUGGACGAGAAGGGCGCAUGCGCAAAGUAAGAGGGAAGAACGGACGGAAUUAAAGAAAAUGAGACCGAGAGGGCGGUUUUAGCGGGUCGGGGAUGUCGGAAUCCUACGUGGUUGUUGUCCGGACUAUUGCAAAGUUCCCCUCCCUUUCCGUUUGCUUUCACUUUGCGAGAAAAAGUAUGUCCAGACUGUUCGACGGACCAAUUCAGGCCCACAAUGGCACGACACGUCCAGAUAGCGUGGCCCAAACAUAUGUGGUUAGUUUGAGUGUCGUCGGUGGGGAUGAUGAUGGAGUUGUGGCCCAAUUCGUUUCAUUAUUUUGCAUACGCCUUGAGUUAAUCCAAAAAAUAUAUUAUUAGCUCCAUCCAUCAAUUCGUACAUGCCCUGAUUCAAACAAUUUGUGAAAUCAGGAAACGAGAUCAACCGGAUGAGAAGAGGGUGACGUUUACCUAUCAAGUAUCGGAUGCAUAUAUAUACAUGUACAGG